rnacentral:rRNA from 1 species
UACGUAGGGUGCAAGCGUUAAUCGGAAUUACUGGGCGUAAAGCGCACGUAGGCGGCUUCGUAAGUUAGAGGUGAAAGCCCGGGGCUCAACUCCGGAAUUGCCUUUAAGACUGCAUCGCUAGAAUUGUGGAGAGGUAAGUGGAAUUCCGAGUGUAGGGGUGAAAUUCGUAGAUAUUCGGAAGAACACCAGUGGCGAAGGCGACUUACUGGACACAUAUUGACGCUGAGGUGCGAAAGCGUGGGGAGCAAACAGG